rnacentral:tRNA from 1 species
GUCGCAACAGUCAAACUGGAAAAGCAAAGGACUGAAAAUCCUCGGGUCACCAGUUC